AACAAAAAACUAUCAAGUGAAAUUAAAUAAAAUCAGAAAAUUAUCAAGCGAACAAACCUUAGUUUCAAGUAAACGUCCACCUACAAAAAUCAAAACUAAUCAUGGAAACGAAACAUCAAUUUAUACUCUGAAUAUUUAACUUUUCUUAUAUUGAUUAGUUAACAGAUCCGUUGUAUAACUAAUUCUAACCAUCAAACAACCACAAUGUCCGCACUAGUAAUUUAAUUCAAUGGCAGCGUUAAGAACUAGAUGAGUUGAUUAAUCUAGACAACAUAACUGUCCGUAGUCCAUGUUUGAUUUGAUCAAUCGAAUGUUCUCCCUAAGGUUAAUAACAUAGAUCCGCCACAAUUAUUAAACUCAAUUGCUUCACAAGUUCGUAUACCACAACUCCAAUUUUGAUAUCGAACUUAGCAAUAGAUUGUCUACAAUAAUAACUUAGAGUCCACUCUAGCAAUUAGAAUAAACAAUCAUAGGAAAAAUAAGCAUAGGAGAAUAAAUAUAUUCAUCAUAUAAACUAAAAAGAAAAUGUAAAAUAAAUCUCACAGUUCUUGAAAUCCGAAGGUUUCCGUGUCUUUGCAACCAAGAAAAAGAGUUUAGCCUUGCAUGUCUACUAAACAAUUAAUCAAAAAGAAGGAAGAAAACAUGAUUUCGGGUUCUAUUAGAGGAAUAUGCAUUUUUUCUCUAUUGGUUGGCCGUCUUCCCUUUUCCUUUCUCUCUUUCUUUUUAUAUCCUAGAAAACCCUAAUCGCUUUUUUACAAAAUAGUCCUUUUCUAAGUUGACAAUUUACAUUUAAGCCUUUCAAUAACUAUUUUCCUAAAAAAAGAGAAAUAGCCUUGCAUAAAAUCUUCAAGCUUUGAAUUUUGACUUAGAGGAGCUAAAUUUUUGAAAUAAAGACUUGGAUGACGGUUUGGAUGCUUUGAGAAGUACUUUGGACUUGUUUCUUCACAAAACCUGUCUGCUGGCAGAAUUCAUGUGUCAUCUUAGAAAAAUCAUAUCUCUCUCAUAUGAGCUCUUUUUCUACUAACCUUUGGUAGACUAAUAAUUCUUCAAGUCAGGAAUCCAACAACAUUGAGUUUGCAUCAAAUGGACUUCUGUAGCUCAAGAUAUUCAAGUCAGAAUGGUCGAAGGUCAACAUUGGCAAAAUUUAAGAUUUGACUUUGAAGGCUGCGAUUUUCAUGCUCUUUCUUUUUUUAUUUUUAUUUCCUUAUAGGUAUAGAAAUGUAUGGAUGUUAGCUUUCUAAUGCCACUGGAAUUACUUCAUUUCGACCCCUAGAGCUCAAGCUCUGCACAAAACAUCGACUAGAAGUCAAAUAUACCAAUUAUCUCCAAUUUACUUCUUUUUGAAUCUUUCAUCCAGAAGUGCCUUCAAAACAUAAAACAAAUAAUAUCAAAGCAUUUUAUGUAUAAAACAUAGGCAAAACACUAGGUAAAUAUUGGUACAACUAUCAAAUAAUUAGGUUGCAUCAACACCUAUUUGGAUUGUGCCGACGGGUUGUUUCUAUUUAGUGUUGGUUUUAGUUCCGCAAGAGCUGAAAGAAGGUAAGCGAGGGGAUAAGCCUAAUUUUGAGUGAAACACUAGCGACAUAUGGAUAUUUUUAUACCACUAACUGAUUAGUACUUAAAAUUGCAUUUUUAUCAAGGUUUUAUAUCAUCAUUUUGCACUUGAAGUAUCAAUAACUCUUUAACUAAAGUAUGUUUUAUAAUAACAAGUCUGAUACCAUAAGAUACCUUUAAUUUAUGGUAAAUGUUUAUCUUAAAUGCAGGCCAAUCACAUAAAUAAAAGGAUUGAUUGAUGAGUUUAAGUACUGAAAUUGAAAGGACAAAGAGAGGGCCAAACUUAGAAAAGAGAUGCUGGUUCAGUCCAAACUGGAAUACUGUUCGGUCAUCGGGUCAUAUCUAGAGUUGUAGAUCUUGGAUUUAGGUCUGCUUUAUAUGGAUGGAAAGCUAAGACAUAGGCAUAAAACUUUCAUGUGGAGUCCAAGAUUUAAAAAGGUCGUUUUCAAGUCCAAAUUGUAGCAACAACGGAGAAGUCCGAAUCUGUCCUGCAGCCCAGAUACUGUUCAGUGUUUAGCCCAUAUCUUGAGUUGUAGAAGUCCAAAUGACCUUUUUUUUGUUAGAAAGCUGAGACAAUUUCCUAGAACUUUCAUGAUUCAAGUCUGUUUGAAUUAUGACAUUAGCAAUGACAUUUUAUUCAGACAAGAAGAUAAGGAUUGUCACCAAGUCAAGAGUUGGCCACCCACUCAAUAAUUAGUCAUCAAAUCAAUAGUUCCAAAUUUUGGCCUAUAAAAGGAGGCAUUUGCCAUGCAUUUAGGUGCUUGGUUGUUCAGAUCAAGAUCUUGCUCUUGCUCUCUCUCUCUCUCUUUAUAUUUUUGUAAUGCUUAAGUUUUACUUUCAUUAAUAUCAUGUUUAUGCUUUUCAUUUUGUUUCUUUUACUUAGUCAACUUGUAUCUUAUUUAUGUUCUUAUCUUGUUUAUUUAUGUUUCUCUUCUUCAUUAUGUUUAGCUAAGUUUAUUAUGUCAAGGUGAAAAGGUUACACUAAUGGUGUAAGAAUAAGUAUAAUAUAAACUCAAUAUGAACUUCAAUGCUUAUAUCCUAAACAACUUGCUAUUAACGUGUCUUAUCAUUUUUAUCUUAUUAAUUCAUAAUACCUUGCUUGUUAAAUGGUUAAUCUAGAUUUGUGUUGUAUAACACUUGGUACAACAAAUGCUUGACACUUUCAUAGCCAACUGUAUGGUAUAACCUAUACCUGUGCUAUGAAAGGAACUUGAUUUGUUGUUAACAUAAGUUAGCAUCAUGAAUUCUUGACAAUAUUUAAAAGUUUGGUGUUACUUAAAUAAGAUAAUUAAUAUGAUCAUGUUAACAAUUUAUAAUGAGCUAUUAAUGACAAAUCAUCCGAUUGGAACCUCCUUUGUGUGUGGUUUCCAGUUGAGUAAUAAAAAAAGUUUAUACUAUACUUGUUUGAAAUUCCAUUAGUGGAUCCUCUAACCUUGAUAUUUGUUUUUAUCAGUGUUUAAUCCUUGCAUUAAUCUUACAUCUCAAAGUCCUCUUUAACUUAUUAUUAUUAUUAUUGUUAUUGUUGUUGUUGUUGUUGUUGUUGUUGUUGUUAUUGUUAUUAUUGUUGUUGUUAUUAUUAUUAUUAUUUAUUAUUUAUAUAGUUAACCUCCAUGUGGUUCGACUCCGGUCUUGCCGGGUUAUUUAUUACUUCGACACUCCUACACUUGGGAGAAGACAUCAAUCUUUUGGUCGUGUCAGUUACCCUUUUGAAAUUGUUAGAUGUUCGUGUUGUUAUAUUUAUUGUAAUAUUCAAAUUUCAAUAAUAUGUAUUUUGUUUCAGGAUCAUCGCAUGCACGACAGGAGUAGAUCCUAGCUUAUGUUCCCUUCUUGUAAUCUAGGUUCUAGGGAGUAUACCCUUGUAUUUUGUAAACAUGAAAAUGUUUGUAUAACUUAAUUUGUAUAAUUAAUGUUUAAACUUGAUUAAAUGAACUUAACUAUGUGGUUCAUAUAACCAUAUUCAUGACUGUGUCUUUAUUUUUUAUCCAUCCAUAAUGAUAUUUUGUUAUAAAAUGUAUAUCAUAAAUAUUGUGGUUGAUAGGUGUGAUAAUAUUUGUGGAAUUGAAACCCAGGAUGAUUGGGUUAUGAUAUGCAAAUUAUUAGAAGUAUAAACAGGUUACAUGUCGAUAACUUGAGACCUUCUAGUAUAGGGGGGACUCUGUCGAAAUUUCGGUAGAUUUUAAAACCAUGAAUAUAUAUAUAUAUAAAUUAAUUACUCUGUUUUUCAGUUGACAUGAGAUUGUUGUUUUUAUCUCGGAAUGGGGGAUGUUACAGUUUGGUAUCAGAGCUCGGGUUGCUAUUCCGGGGACAGGAAUGAUUAUAUGAUUUUGAAAUGUGUUUCAGGAUGGUGAGAACAAGGCAAGGAGCCAGGACUGAUCCAUCCCCAGUUCGGGGAAGUGACCAGAGUUUUUGAAAUGAAAGUGAUCCAGACUGGGAUCCCUUGGCAGACACCUCCUCUCAUAUACCUGCAACAUCAGUGUACUCUGAAGGUGGCGAGUCAGUGAGACUUCGAGAUGAUUCGUUGUCCCGUCACACAAAUGUAUUGUAAACCCCGGGGAAAAAAUAAAGGUUGCUUGGAUUGCAAACUAACUACAUGAGAAAUAAAAGUGAAGAAAUUCAUGCAUAUGGUUAAAUAAAAACGGGAAUUCAUAAAUUUUUGGAGAUAAGUUUCUGGAUGAAAUUUUUCGAGACAUUAUAAAUCAACCCAAAAAUGUUGAGGGUUGGAUUAAAUUAAAGAAAAUAAACUAAACUAAAAGUUGUGGGGUGAAAUUAUAAGAAAUGAAAAUAGGUAUAACUUAACUAUAAGAAGAAGAAAAAAAGAUGUAGGGGCCUAAAUGCAAAUAAGAAAAAUUAUAGGGCAUAAAUACUCCUAUUCUCAUCAAAAUCUAUAGAAAUCAUAAGGAAAGAAAAAAGGAAGUUUUUGUAUUCAUUCUUGCAAAAUCAAGAGAGAACCACCAAAAUUUCAAGAAAACCAUCCAAGAUUAAGGGUUUAUAGAUGGAAUAAACACUUGUGGGCAAGAGAUUAACAAGGAAAUUGAACAAGAAGAGAAGAUGGAGGGCUGGCUAUCAUUACAUAAGAAAGGAGGGAGUUGAAAAAAAUAUUCAACUGGUUGAAGAUCAAAACCUUCAUUCGUACCAGGUAAGGUGUUCUAAACAUGAUCUUAUAAGUCAUUUCAAAUUCGAUAAUGAAUUGAUGCCUUGAUGUGAAUUAUAGAUUAAGGUUCUUAGACUUGAAAGUGCAUUUUUAUCAAGGUUUUAUAUCAUUAUUUUGCACUUGAAGUAUCAAUAACUCCUUAACUAGAGCAUAUUUUAUAAUAACAUGUCUAAUAAUAUAAGAUACCUUUAAUUUAUGGUAAAUGUUCAUCUUAAAUGCAGGCCUAUCACAUAAAUCAAAGGAUUGAUUGAUGAGUUUAACUACUGAAAUUGAGAAGACAAAGAGAAGGCGAAGCUUAGAAAAGAGAUGCUGGUUUAGUUCAAACUGGAACACCAUUCGGUUAUUGGAUCAUAACUGGAGCUGUAGAACUUGGAUUUAGGUCUAGUUUAUAUUUAUGGAAAGCUAAGUUAUAGGCCUAAAAUUUUCAUGAGAGUCUAAGAUUCAAAAGAACCAUUUUCAAGUUCAAAAUGCAGCAAUAACGGAGAAGUUGGAAUCUGUCCUGCAGCCCAGACACUGUUCAGUGUUCAGCCCAUAUCUCGAGUUCUAGAAGUCCAAAUGCAUCGAUUCUUAUUUUGUUGGAAAGGUGAGACAAUUUCCCAGAACUUUCAUGAAGAAUAUCUGCUCAAAUUAUGAUAUUAGCAAUGACGUUUUCUGCAGACAAGAAGAUAAGGAGUGUUACCAAGUCAAGAGGUGGCCACCCACUCAACAAUUAGUCAUCAAAUCAAUAGUUCUGAAUUUUGGCCUAUAAAAGAAGGCAUUUGCCAUGCAUUUAGGCAUCUUGCUUUUCAGAUCAAGAUCAUGUUCUUGCUCUCUCUCUCUCUCUUUAUAUUUUUGUAACGCUUAAGUUAUGUUUAUAUUAAUCUCUUGUUUAUGCUUUUCAUUUCCUUUCCUUUACUUAGUUAACUUAUAUCUUAUUUAUGUUUUUAUCUUGUUUAUUUAUGUUUCUCUCUUUCAUUGUGUUUAGCUAAGUUUAUUAUGUCAAGGUGAAAAGGAUACACUAAUGGUGUAAGAAUAAGUAUAGUAUAAACUCAACAUGGACUUUAAUGUUUGAUACUAACAUGUUUUGUAUUUGUUAUCUUGUUCACUUUUAAUACUUUAUUUGUUAAAUGGUUAAUCUAGAUUUAUGUUGUAUAACCCUUGGUAGAACAAAUACUUGGCACUUUCAUAGCCCAACCGUAUGGUAUAACCGACAUCUGUGCUAUGAAAGAAACUUGAUUUGUUAAACUCAACAUGGACUUUAAUAUUUGAUACUAAUAUGUUUUGUAUUUGUUAUCUUGUUCACUUUUAAUACUUUGCUUGUUAAAUGGUUAAUCUAGAUUUAUGUUGUAUAACCCUUGGUACAACAAAUACUUGACACUUUCAUAGCCCAACCGUAUGGUAUAACUGACACCUGUGCUAUGAAAGAAACUUGAUUUGUUGUUAACAUAAGUUAUAAUCAUGAAUACCUGACAACAUUUACAAGUAUUAGCAUUAUUUGAAUAAGAUAACUAAUGUAAUCAUGUUAAUAAUUUAUAAUCCGAUUGCAACCUCCUUUGUGUGUGGUUUCCAGUUGAGUAAUAAAAAGAGUUUAUACUAUACUUGUUUGAAAUACCAUUAAUGGAUCCUCUAACCUUGACAAUUAUUUUAUCCUUGUUUAAUUCUUAUAUCAAUAUCACAUCUCAAAGCUCUCUUCAACUCCUUUUCUGUUAUUAUCUAUUUCUUUAUUUGUAGUUUAUACAGUUAACCUCCCUGUGGUUCGACCCCGGUCUUGCUUAUCAAUAUCACAUCUCAAAGCUCUCUUCAACUCCUUUUCUAUUAUUAUCUAUUUCUUUAUUUGUAGUUUAUACAGUUAACCUCCCUGUGGUUCGACCCCGGUCUUGCCGGAUUAUUUAUUACUUCGACACUCCUACACUUGGAAGAAAACAUCAACUCUUUGGUCGUGUCAAGUUUUUGGCGCCGUUGCCGGGGAGGUAAAUUCUUGUAUAAAUUAUAAUAUUUAUUUUAUUUUCUCUUUUCACUUUUUGUUUUAUCUAACUUUUAUUUCGUUUAUUUUGUUUUGUUUUAUUUUGUUUCCUUUCCUUUCCUUUUCUUCCUUUUAUUCUCUUCCUACACGUGCAUGAGAGUUUGGUCACGUACAUUAAGUGGUAAACUUUGUAGGGUAUCCUCAUCAUUUUCAGAAAAUAUGGCCGAAAAAGAUAACCAGUCACUUCAUAAUGAGAAUAAUGAGAAUAAGUGUGUUAGAACACUUAGAGACCACAUGAAUCCCACAAGAACAAGUGUGCCCUCAUGCAUAGUUUCCCCCCCUGAUGCAUCUCAUUUUAAUUUUAAGCCAGACAUUAUUCAACUUUUACAUUCUUUUCAUGGCUUAGAUCUAGAAAAUCCAUACUUGCAUUUGAGAGAAUUUGAGGAGGUCUGUAACACCUAUAAUGACUUAAAUUGUAGCAUGAACACCAUCAGAUUAAAGCUUUUUCCUUUUUCAUUAAAAGAUAAAGCUAAAACAUGGCUACAAAAUCUUAGGUCAGGAUCCAUUCGUGCUUGGGAUAAAAUGCAACAACAAUUUUUAAAGAAGUUUUUUUCGUCUCACAUAACAAACUCUUUCAAAAGACAAAUCACAACAUUCACUCAAAAACUAGGAGAAACAUUUUACCAAUGUUGGGAUAGGUAUCGAGACUUGCUUAAUCCUUGCCCUCAUCAUGGUUUUGAAACAUGGAGAUUGGUUUCAUAUUUUUAUGAAGGGUUAACACCUAAAGAUAGACAAAUGGUGUAAUUGAUGUGCAAUGGAACUUUUCAAGAUAAAGACCCUAAUGAAGCAAUUGAGUACUUAGAUUUGCUAGCUGAAAAUGCUCAAAAUUGGGACACUGCAUGUAACAUCCCCCAUUUCUGAGAUAAAACCACAAUCUCAUGUCAAUAGAAAAACAGAGUAGUUAAAUUUUUUUUUUUAUAUAUAUACAUAUUCACGGUCUUCGUGUUAACAUCUACCAGAAAUUUCAACGGAGCCCCCCUAUACCGGAAGGUCCCAAUUUACCGACAUGUAACCUGUUUAUACUUCUAACAGUUCGCAUCUCAUAACUUAAUUUCCGACCCAAUCAGCCUGGGUUUCAAUUCCACAAUUAUACUCACACCUAUCAACCAUAAUAUUUAUGAUAUGCAUGAUAUAACAAAAAUAUCAUUAUGGAUGGAUAAUUUAAAUAAAUAUAAAUUCAUAGACAUGAAAUAUGGUUAUAUAAACUACAACGUUAAAUUCAUCCAAUCAAGUUUAAACAUUUAUUAUACAAAUUAAGUUAUACAACCAUUUUCAUGUUUACAAAAUACAAGGGUAUACUCCCUAGAACCUAGACUUCAAAAAGGGAACAUAAGCUAGGAUCUACUCCUGUCGUGCAUGCGAUGAUCCUGAAACAAAAUACAUAUUAUUGCAAGGUGAAUAUUUCCAUAAAUAUAACAAUAUGAAUAUCUAAUAAUUUCAACAGGGCAACAUGCAUUCAUAUUUCAUUUAUUUCUCCCUUCUAGUUUUUUUUUUUUUUAAAUCUCUUCCUUAUUCAACUAUUAAUAAUCGUCCCCUCUGUCGUUAUCAACCUUCAUUCCAGACAUCAACGUGAUUACUUUUGCUUAUCCCAUUACCGAUACCAAUUUCACUGGUAUCGUCAUCACCACCCCAUAGGAGUCGAUAUAAGGCGAUCCCUUUACCCGGAAUCCUAACAUACACUAAAUGUAUGCUGGCCAUUCCAUGGUGAUCCCCUUACCCAGGAUCCUAACAUACACUGAAUGUAUGUUAGCCAAUACGUGGAGAUCCCCUUACCCGGGAUCCUAACAUACACUCCCGGGAUCCUAACAUACACUCAAUGUAUGCUAGACAAUACAUGGUGAUCCCCUUACCCGGGAUCCUAACAUACACUAAAUGUAUGCUGGCCAUUCCAUGGUGAUCCCCUUACCCGGGAUCCUAACAUACACUGAAUGUAUGUUAGCCAAUACGUGGAGAUCCCCUUACCCGGGAUCCUAACAUACACUAAAUGUAUGGUAGUCCAUUCGUGACGAUCCCCUUACCCGGGAUCCUAACAUACACUAAAUGUAUGCUAGCCAAUACAGGGUGAUCCCCUUACCCGGGAUCCUAACAUACACUUAAUGUAUGCUAGUUUAUGCCUCAAAUCACACUUAUCAUAUUUUCCUUUUUCAGUAAUAAUUUCAUCACUUGGCAAUUCACAUAACAACUUUUCACCUUGAAUACACAUACAUUCAGUAAUUUACAUUUCACAUCAAAAUAUAUUAAAUCAUGGAAUUUAACUAGGAAGCAUAGGUGUGAAUCACCUAUCUGCAAUAGAAGCUCUACUCGUGCUCCCCUGCUGCUGCUGUUGCACCACGUCUGUGGUCCCUCCUGCAAAUCACAGGUUUAUCUCAUAAUUUUCUUCACUCAAGGAUAUGUUUUAUAAUAACCAUAUCAACAACCAAUAAGUCUUUCUUUUAGUCAUUUCUUAGUACUUUAUGUUUUUCUCAUUUCACUCAUUAUUACUGUCGUUCUUUUUCCAAUCCUAGUUAUCAUUCCUUUCUUUAUAUUUGGACUUUCACUGUCCAACUGUUACUGCUUCCUCUUUGAACUGUUACUGUCUGACCUCUCCUCAGAUUUUUAACUAUAUCUGGAGUUAUAGAACUCCGAUUCAAGCGAAAUUUGUGGCAUUGGAAAGGUAAGACAUGAGGCUACAAGUUCUAUGUUUUGGGAAGAACCCAGUUCUGCCUCUAAGGUAGUCAAAAUUGCUCAUUAACAAACGCUUGGACUGUUACUGUCCAACUGUUACUGUCCAUUUUUGAACUGUUACUGUCUGACCUUUCCUCAGAUUUUUUACUAUAUCUGGAGUUAUAGAACUCCGAUUCAAGCAACAUUUGUGGCGUUGGAAAGGUAAGACAUGAGGCUACAAGUUCUAUGUUUUGGGAAGAACCCAGUUCUGCCUCUAAGGUAGUCAAAAUCGCUCAUUAACAGACAUUUGGACUGUUACUGUCCAACUGUUACUGUCCAUUUUUGAACUAUUACUGUCUGACCUCUCCUCAGAUUUUUAACUAUAUCUGGAGUUAUAGAACUCCUAUUCAAGCGAAAUUUAUGGCGUUGGAAAGGUAAGACAUGAGGCUACAAGUUCUAUGCUUUGGGAAGAACCCAGUUCUGCCUCUAAGGUAGUCAAAAUCGCUCAUUAACAGACGUUUAGACUGUUACUGUCCAUUUUUGAACUAUUACUGUCUGACCUCUCCUCAGAUUUUUAACUAUAUCUGGAGUUAUAGAACUCCUAUUCAAGCGAAAUUUGUGGCGUUGGAAAGGUAAGACAUGAGGCUACAAGUUCUAUGUUUUGGGAAGAACCCAGUUCUGCCUCUAAGGUAGUCAAAAUCGCUCAUUAACAUAUGCUUGGACUGUUACUGUCUCAUUUUUGAACUGUUACUGUCUAGACAUUGAACUAUUACUGUCUUGAACUGUUACUGUCAAGAUAUUGAACUGUUACUAUCUCAUUUUUGAACUGUUACUAUCUAGACAUUGAACUAUUACUGUCUUGAACUGUUACUGUCAAGAUAUUGAACUGUUACUGUCUCAUUUUUGAACUGUUACUGUCUAGACAUUGAACUAUUACUGUCUUGAACUGUUACUGUCAAGAUAUUGAACUGUUACUGUCUUAUUUUUGAACUAUUACUGUCUAGACAUUGAACUGUUACUAUCCGACCUCUCCUCAGAUUUUUAACUAUAUCUAGAGUUAUAGAACUCCGUUGCAAGCAAGAUUGGUCUCGUUGGAAAACUAAGACAUGGGGCUACAAGUCCCCUGAGGAAGGAGAACCCAGUUCUGCCCAUAAGAUAGUCAUAAUUGCUCAUAAAAAAAAAUCAGACUUACUGCUCUACAGGGUCUGUCAUGACCCAGUCUCGGUUGAUAACCCAUAACUGGAGUUCUACAGCUCUAAAUUGAGCAAGACCAAUUUCCUUAGUUAGCUAACAUCCAAAACUAUAAUUUCUAUGUGGGACACUGGUUCUCCCUCAUCCUCCUAUCCAAAAUCUUACUGAAAGUCAGGAGACGAGUCUGUCCAGAUUCGUCACCCCCCCUUCCCUUCACACAUAAAUUUCCCAAACUAUAUUUUUUGGGUAAUUAUCAUGGUUUCACGUCCCCAAUCACAUACCACACAUGAAUUAACUUAAUUUUUACAACAAAUACUUUUCCCCCAAAUUUAAGUCUAAGAAUCCUAAUCUAUAAUUCACAUCAAGGCAUCAAUUCCUUAUCGAAUUUAAAAUGACUUAUAAGAUCAUGUUUAGAACACCUUACCCGGUACGAAUUAAGGUUUUGAUCUUCAACCAGUUGAAGAUUUUCAACUUCCUCCUUUCUUAUCUAAUGAUAGCCAGCCCUCCAUCUUCUCUUCUUGUUCAAUUUCCUUGUUAAUCACUUGCCCACCAGUGUUUAUUCCAUCUAUAAACCCUUAAUCUUGGAUGGGUUCUUGAAAUUUUGGUGUUUCUCUCUUGAUUUGUAGAAAUAGAUACCAAAACUCCCUCUCUUCUUUUUUCACAAUAGUUGCAGAUCUAUUUUUGGUAAGAAGAGUAGUAUUUAUGCUCCAUAAUUAUUCUUAUUUGCAUUUAGACCCCAUUUUCUUUAAAUGUAUUCGUUUUGCCCCCACUUCUUUUUAGUUUAUCUUAUUUUCUUUAAUUUAAUCCAACCCUCAACAUUUUCGGGUUGAUUUAUAUUGUCUCGAAAUAUUUCGUCCAUAAACUUAUAUCCAAAAAUUUCUAAAUUCCCGUUUUUAUUUAACCAUAUGCAUGAAUUUCUUCACUUUUAUUUCUCAUGUAGUUAGUUUGUAAUCUAAGCAACCUUUAUUUUUCCCCGGGGUUUACACUGCAGGCACUUAUGAGGCACCAAGUAAAACUCAACCUCAUACAUCUAGUGGAGGAAUGUACAACCUUAGGGAAGAUCAUGACCUCCAAGCCAAGUUACCAUCUUUAGCUAGAAAAUUUGAGGCACUAGAAUUGAAAAAGAGUGGUCAAUUAAAAUCUGUUCAAGACAUUGUGUGUCAAAUUUGUGAAACCAAUGAACACUCAACCAAUAACUGUCCAACUUUGCCUGCUUUCAAGGAAUGCCUCCAUGAACAAGCCCAUGCUUUAAACAGUUUCCAAAGGCCCAAUCAUAACCCAUACUCACAAACAUACAACCUUGGUUGGGGAAAUCACCCAAAUUUCAGUUGGAAGAGUGAUAACAAUAAUGCACAAAUUUCACAGCCACCGUUUCAAGCACACCAUAAUUUCCAAAAUUCUCAUGGAUAUGCACCUCCUUAUGCUCCACCUCCUAUAAGAAAUCUUGAGGAAACAUUGUAUGCAUUCAUUGAAAAGCAAGAGACAAUCAACACUCAACUUGCUCAAAAGCAUGACAAAUUUUAAAGAUACUCUUUCAAAGUUCACAUCUGUCUCACUUUUCAGGAGAAAGGUAAGUUCUCAUCUCAACCACAGCAAAAUCCCAAGGGGCAAUACAAUGCAAAUGCAAGUAGUUCCAGAAGCAAACACAUGGAUGAAGUCAAAUCAGUCAUCACUCUUCGUAGUGGUAAGGUUAUUGAAAAACCCACUCUUGAACCUUGUGAAAAAGAUGAUGAGUCAAUCUCUAAGGGUAAGGAAGGGGUUGAAUCUAAACAUUGCAAAGAAAAGACUGAUUCUCCGCCAGCACUUUCAUUUCCUCAUGCCAUGACCAAACAAAGGAAAGUCAAUCACAACUCUGAAAUAUUUGAAACUUUCAAGCAGGUAAGGAUCAAUAUACCUUUGUUGGAUGCUAUUAAACAGGUACCUUGUUAUGCUAAAUUUUUGAAAAACUUGUGCACCGUUGAUUAGUACUUAAAAGUGCAUUUUUAUCAAAGUUUUAUAUCAUUAUUUUGCACUUAAAGUAUCAAUAACUCCUUAACUAUAGCAUGUUUUAUAAUAUCAUGUCUAAUACUAUAAGAUACCUUUAAUUUAUGGUAAAUGUUCAUCUUAAAUGCAGACCUAUCACAUAAAUCAAGGGAUUGAUUGAUGAGUUUAACUAUUGAAAUUGAGAAGACAAAGAGAGGGCUAAGCUUAGAAAAGAGAUGCUGGUUCAGUCCAAACUGGAACAAUGUUCAGUCAUUGGGUCAUAUCUGGAGUUGUAGAUCUUGGAUUUCAGUUUGGUUUAUAUGGCUAAAAAGCUAAGACAUAGGCCUAAAACAUUUAGGAGAGUCCAAGACUCAAUUCUAUUGUUUGGGAGUUCAAAUCUUAGCAUCAAAAGAGAAGUCUGAAUCUGUCCUGCAACCCAGACACUAUUCAAUGUUCAGCCCAUAUCUCGAGUUAUAGAAGUUCAAAUGCGCCGAUUCGUUUUUUGUUGGAAAGCUAAGACAAUUUCCUAGAACUUUUAUGAAGACAAUAUGUUCAAAGUCUGACGUUAGCAAUGACUUUUGUUCAGACAAGAAGAUAAGGAUUAUCACCAAGUCAAGAUGUGGCCACCUACUCAACAAUUAGUCAUCAAAUCAAUAGUUCCAUGAUCAGUUCUGAUUUCUGUAGGUGGAUGUGUGCUUGCGACCAAGGUUUGUUCUCUUGAUAAUUUUAUGAUUUUAUUAAAUUUUGUUUGAUAGUUUUAUGUUUUCUUUUGCUUUAGCCUAGAUUACGUCGAAACCCCCCCCGAAAAAAAUAAAUUACAUAUCAUCUAGCAUAAAAAUCUGGCUUGAACCUUCCUCGUGGGAUCAACCCCUUGCUUGCUCUAUACUAUCUUGUGUGUUGUGUUUGAAGUUAGGGUAAUUAAUUUGUGCGACUGCGUCAUCUCAACAAAUUUUGGCGCCGUUGCCGGGGAAGUAAUUUUAGUUGAUUCUUGUGCUAUUAUUUUUAUUUGCUCUCAUUGUUAUUUAUUUUUUUGAAAAAAAAAGAGAAACAGAAUUUUUGCUUGUUGCGGUACUGUUCAUUUACGGCAGUGGUACUGUUCAAAACAGAUGUUUUGGUGGAAUUAGGUAUCGUUCUUUUUUUUCCUAAAGGGAAACGACGUUCUAAACAGGACUAGUGGCCACUAGCCCCACCCUAUCGAGGCCAAAUUCCGCUGUUUUCCAAGGUUUUUAGGCAGUUUAAUUUUUUUAGCGUAGGAUUUUCGUACAAUUUACAUUGUUUUCGAUCUCUUGUGUGGUUGGUUUCUUUUUAGUUUUCUUGACGAUUUAUGCCUGUAACCCGUUCUAUCAACCAGAGUCAAGUGCAGGUGGAUCUCAAAAUAGAAAACACUUUACGCAAGUUACGAAAGGAAGCUCGCGUCAACACCAUGGAUGUUGAACGACAACAACCACUCAAGGAGCUUGCUGCUCCUAACGUGGAAAAUCAACCAUUGUGCAUCAACAUCGACAAUAAUGUAAACUUCGAGCUCAAAUCUGGUUUUAUACAUUUGCUACCAACAUUCAAUGGUCUUGUAGGUGAAGAUCCUCAUACUCAUCUCAAGGAGUUCCAUAUGGUUUGCGUUGGCAUGAAACCGAAUGGAGUUGAUGAAGAACAGGUUAAGUUGAAAGCUUUCCCUUUCUCUUUAAAAGGGGCAGCAAAGGCAUGGUUUUUCCCUAUUCUCCUAGGUUCCAUUGGAACUUGGAAUGCCAUGAAGAAGAGUUUCCUUGAAAAGUAUUUCCCAGCAUCUCGAGUUGCCAACAUAAGGAAAGAAAUAUGUGGGAUUCGACAAUCUCAUGGAGAGACACUUUUCGAGUAUUGGGAAAGAUUUGAGCAACUGUGUAUUCAAUGCCCUCACCAUCAGAUACCCGAUCACCUACUCAUUCAAUAUUUCUAUGAAGGACUGAUGCCUAUUGACCGUAGUAUCAUUGAUACGGCAAGUGGUGGGGCAUUGGUAGAUAAGACACCCGAGGCUGCACGCCAAUUGAUCUCAAACAUGGCAGCCAACUCGAAACAGUUUGGCACCCGUGGAGACUUCGCAAAUAAAGGAGUAAAUAAGGUAAGUAUUUCUAACCUUGAGAAUAAAGUUAAUGAUCUUACUUCUCUUGUGUGUUUUUUGGCUUGUGGAAAUGUACAGCAGGUGAAAGUUUGUAGCAUAUGCUCCUUACAACGACAUGCUUCGGAUAUGUGCCCAACAAUGUAAGAAGAUUACAUUGAACAUGCUAAUGCAGUUGAUGGAGGAUUCAAUGUACAACCUCAAUGUAAGUAUGAUCCUUUUUCUCACACGUACAAUCCUGGAUGGAGAGAUCAUCCUAACCUAUGUUAUGGGAACCAGCCUCAACAAAGCAAUCAAGGCCAACAGUUCCAUCCCCAUGAAUUUCAAUCCCAACAGAAUUAUCAAGCGAGAUAGCCCCCUUCAUUCACAAACUCCAAUGUUAUGAGGUCGUCAUCCAGUGAUGAUCUUCGUGAGAUGAUGAAAACUUUGGCUUCUAACACUAUGACCUUGCAACAAAAUGUCAUGUCUUUUCAACAGGAAACAAGGUCAAGUAUUCACAAGUUGGAGAAGCAAAUGGGGCAAGUAGCUUCAAGUGUGGGGAAAUUGGAAGCACAAAUGAAUGGAAAAUUUCCCUCCCAAGCAUUGAAUCCAGUAAAGAAUGUUAGUGCGAUCAUGUUGCGAAGUGAGAAUGAACUUGAAGCGAAAAGGUCGAAACAAAUUAAGAUGGAGGAAGAAGAGGAGAUAGAAACCGAAUUGAAUAUAAAGAAGAAACAUCCUCCUUCACAAAUUGAAACCACGACCAACACUCUAAAGGUAACUCCCCACUCAAUGAAUUCCAGUUUUAAAAUAGUUCCACCCUUUCCUGUGAGUUCUUUUAGGUUAAAGAAAGAGGACAAAGAAAAAGAGAUUUUAGAGGUUUUCAAGAAAGUAGAACUCAACCUUCCUUUGCUUGAUGCUAUCAAGCAAAUUCCCAAGUAUGCCAAAUUCUUGAAGGAGUUGUGUACUACCAAGAGAACUUUCAAACUGAAAGGUCAUGAAAUGGUAAGUAUAGGUGCAGUUGUAUCUGCUAUUGUUCAAAAGAAUAUGCCUUUGAAGCAAAAAGACCCAGGUGUGUUUACUAUCCCAUGUGUUAUUGGUAAUGCUCGUUUCAAAAGGGCCUUGUGUGAUUUAGGUGCAUCCAUUAGUGUUAUGCCUAAACAUGUUUAUGAUUCUCUUAGUCUUGAGCCUUUGAAUAAAACUAGCAUUGUAGUACAACUUGUGGAUCGUAGUUUUGUUUACCCACUUGGUGUGAUAAAAGAUGUCCUAUUCAAGAUUGAUAGUUUGGUCAUUCCAUGCGACUUUUAUAUUCUUGAUAUGGAACAUGAUUCUUGUGAUUCAUCAAACAACACUCCUAUAUUGUUUGGGAGACCAUUCUUGAAAACUGCCAAUAUAAAGAUUGAUUGUGGUGAGGAUACUUUGUCUAUGAAAGUAGGAGAUGAAAAGAUUGAAUUUAAUUUUCAUGAUGCAAUGAAAUAUCCUUAUAGCAAUGUUUAUUUUAUCACAUGCUAUGACCAAGUUGAUAAGUGUGUGCAACAAGUUUUUUAUUUUGAUUGUGAGGAUGGAUUAAGCGUAGCUUUGAGCUAUGGCUAUGAUUUUACCAAGAUAGAAAAGAUGAAGAGGCAUAUAUGUGUUCCCUAAAACAUGCAUGAAUCAACAUUGGCUUUGCAAGCUGUUCCCUAUGAUGCAGGAAUCAUUCACCCCAUCAUGGACAAUGAAUCGGUGAUGCCUAUCCUUUUGGUGCCUAAAAAAGAUUGGAAUUAGAUUAGAAGAAAUACAAAAUGAUGUUUAUGAGAAUGCAAGGAUUUAUAAAGAAAAGAUCAAAAGUCUUCAUGAUGAUUACAAGAAAAGAGUUUAAUGUUGGAGACAAAGUUCUUCUUUUUCAUUUGCGUUUGAAACCUUUUCCUGUAAAGUUGCGCUCUUGUUGGAUUGGACCCUUUAUUGUUUCUAAUGUUUUUUCUUAUGGUGCAGUUGAAAUUACAAGUUUAGAAACCAACAAAGUACUCAAGGUCAAUGGGCAUCGCUUGAAACCUUUCUAUGAAGGUUGGACGGCAGAACUCACCGCUUAUGUGGAGUUAGCUGAACCAAUCUAUGAAGAAUGAGCAUGCAACAUGUCGAGCCAAUGACAUAAAACAAAAGCGCUUACUAGGAGGCAACCCAGCACAAAAAGAAAAAAAAACAGAUUUGCUUUCUUUUUCCCUUAUCUUUUAUUUUUCACAUUUUACUUUAUUUUUGUCAUUCUCCUAUAUUCCUUUUCUUUUAUUUCAACAUUGAGGACAAUGUUGUGUUUUAAGUGUGAGGGUAUUGGGAGAAUGUUGGUUUUCUUAUUUUGAUUUUCUUUGUUGUUCCAAAAAAAAAACAAAUUUCUAUGUUUGAUCUUUUGAACUCCUAUUGGUUUAUGAGAAUGUGAGUAUUACAUAUGAGAAUUAAUUGAGAUAGAUGAAGAUAUAAAUCGAAUGAAGAAGUGUGCAUGCAAGUUUUANNNNNNNNNNNNNNNNNNNNNNNNNNNNNNNNNNNNNNNNNNNNNNNNNNNNNNNNNNNNNNNNNNNNNNNNNNNNNNNNNNNNNNNNNNNNNNNNNNNNNNNNNNNNNNNNNNNNNNNNNNNNNNNNNNNNNNNNNNNNNNNNNNNNNNNNNNNNNNNNNNNNNNNNNNNNNNNNNNNNNNNNNNNNNNNNNNNNNNNNNNNNNNNNNNNNNNNNNNNNNNNNNNNNNNNNNNNNNNNNNNNNNNNNNNNNNNNNNNNNNNNNNNNNNNNNNNNNNNNNNNNNNNNNNNNNNNNNNNNNNNNNNNNNNNNNNNNNNNNNNNNNNNNNNNNNNNNNNNNNNNNNNNNNNNNNNNNNNNNNNNNNNNNNNNNNNNNNNNNNNNNNNNNNNNNNNNNNNNNNNNNNNNNNNNNNNNNNNNNNNNNNNNNNNNNNNNNNNNNNNNNNNNNNNNNNNNNNNNNNNNNNNNNNNNNNNNNNNNNNNNNAUUUUAGAGAUUUAAACACAUAAACCCUAAACACGUGAGUGUUGGAGUGUAUAUCAAUGAGAGGACCUAUCACUUUGGCAUGGCAUAGAUUUCAUUUAAAUCCCGAUGAUUAAUUGAGUUUUGAAGUUUACAUGUAAAUAAAUUCAUGAAAAUUUAUACUCUUUAUCAUUCUUGAUUGUGUUCUUGUUUAUAAUGCAUAUAUUCUUGGAUAUUGAUAGGAGAUUAGGAGAUUAGUCAUAGUGAUUUGAUUUAAUUUAAUUUCAAUUUGAUUUUACCUAUCCUUUCUCGAGGACAAGCAAGAGCUAAGUGUGGGGGUAUUUGGUGCAACCAUAUUAUUCGAUAGUUCCACCCAUAUUUCACUUGUUUUUUACCUAUGUUAUAUAUAUAAAAUGCCUUGAUAUUCUUUGUUUUAUGUUUUGAAGGCACUUUUGGAUGAAAGAUGCAAAAAGGAGUAAAUUGGAGGUAAUUGACAGAUUUGACCUUCAGUCGAUGUUUUGUGCAGAACAUGAGCUCUAGAGGUUGAAAUGAAGUGAUUCUAGUGGCAUUAAAAAGCUAACAUCUAUACCGUUAUGGACAUCUAAGGCAAGAAAAUAAAAUAAGGAAGAGGAUGGAAAUCGCAGCCUUCAAAGUCAAAAUAAGUCAAGUUUUGGGGGUCGUCCCCAAAGCUUUAGCAAAAGGGGACAUCAUUGGAAAAAAAUUGGUGAAGAACUACAAGUCUCCAUAAUGUCUGAUCGAAUGAAUGCAAUGUUUAACCAUAUUGACGCUUUCAUUGCUUUACUAGGUGGUCUGGGCACAUUGGAAGAGAUCUUUCAUAUUUUCUCUUUGGUCCAACUGCACAUUCACCAUAAACCUAUAGGUUUGUUAAAUGUUAAUGGUUUUUAUGAUAAUUUGUUGUCUUUUCUUGAUCAAGCCGUGAAACAGGAAUUUCUAACAUCUUCAGCACGACAAAUCAUAAUCUCUGCUUCUAUUGCUGAACAUUGAUUGAACAACUACAAUCUUUCAUUCCUGUAAUUGAUCCCUUCAUGAGUCGCAUAAAUUGGUCAACUAUGGAAAACCGUAAAAAGCUUAGAUUGGAUUUGAGCCUUUGUUUGUGAAACCUUGUGUCCUUUGGUUUUAUUUAUUAUUUUGUUAUUUCUUAUAUUUGUUAAAGUGUGUUUCAGGUUUGUUAGUGUUCGCUGUUUCAGGUGAUGUCUUCUAUACUCUAUCUUCUACCUUAGGACAUUGAGGANNNNNNNNNNNNNNNNNNNNNNNNNNNNNNNNNNNNNNNNNNNNNNNNNNNNNNNNNNNNNNNNNNNNNNNNNNNNNNNNNNNNNNNNNNNNNNNNNNNNUUUGACAAAACUGUUAUUACUAGGAUGGCAAAGUUAGGGAGAAUUUUAUUAACUUGAUUUUGCUCUUGAAAUAUUCAGGUUUACAAAUUCUCGCAUUGUUAUCACUUGAUUCUGCUCCUAUACUCAUUUAACAAGUAUUCUUAAACCUUCAUUUUCACACACACACUUUAACAUAUGAUUGUGGAUUGCACAUUGGAUUAUUACAUUAUUUAUGUUCUUUUGUUAAAGGUAACAACUAAGAGAAAGGGAUAGUAUAUAAUUUACAAAAAAAAAAUUUGAUAAUAUUGAUGAUAAUAGAAAUGUAGAUAAGUUUGGUUUUAUAGCCUCCCCAACUUAAGCAAUUAAGCCCGAAGGGGUGUUUUAACACCUAAUACCCUAAAGUCAACUGACUUGGGAGCUAUUGGCCCAAUGCUUGUUACAUGGGUUAAGGAGAAAAGCUUAAGGUGAUCAAACAUUGCACUAUCUACGUAUCAGUAUCUGCAACCCGAGUUACUAAGCUCGAAGGGGUGUCUCAACACCUAAUGCCCUAAAACCAACUAGUCUGGGAGUCAUUAGCCUAAAGUUCGUUACAUGGGUUAAAAAUGCAUUGUGUUUUAAGUUAUAUGUAUAUAUAUUAAAAAAAAAAGAAAAAAAAAGACAAAAAAGAUAAUAAUCCCAACCCAAGGAAGUUAACCAUAAACAUUAGAACAUAAUAUUGUUUUCUUCCAAUAAAAGCCUCAUCAUCUAUGUUUUCAUACAUUGAGCACAUAAAAAAAAAAGGUUUAUUAAUAUCUUGUUUAAGAAGUAUGAAGCAGAUAUAUAAAUUUAAUGAGAGUUUGUUUAUUUGGAUAGAUUAAUAGAAGUUGAAUGAUGAAUGCCUUGCUUUGUGGAACUUGCAAAUUGUUUUUCUAUUUUAACGCUUUGAUUACUAGGGACUAGUAAUAAGCUGGUUGGGGCGUGUGAUUAGUACUUAAAAGUGCAUUUUUAUCAAGGUUUUAUAUCAUCAUUUUGCACUUGAAGUAUCAAUAACUCCUUAACUAAAGCAUGUUUUAUAAUAACAAGUCUGAUACUAUAAGAUACCUUUAAUUUAUGGUAAAUGUUCAUCUUAAAUGCAGGCCUAUCACAUAAAUCAAAGGAUUGAUUGAUGAGUUUAACUACUGAAAUUGAGAAGACAAAGAGAGGGGCAAGCUUAGAAAAGAGAUGCUGGUUCAGUCCUAACUGGAACACUAUUCGGUUAUUGGAUCAUACCUUGAGCUGUAGAACUUGGAUUUAGGUUUGGUCUAUAUGGAUGGAAACCUAAGACAUAGGCCUAAAACAUUCAUGAAGAGUCCAACAUUCAAAAAGGUCGUUUUCAAGUUCAAAUUGUAGCAACAACGGAGAAGUUGGAAUUUGUCCUGCAGCCCAGACACUGUUCAGUGUUCAGCCUAUAUCUCGAGUUCUAAAAAUCCAAAUGCACCGAUUCAUUUUGUGUUGGAAAGCGAAGAUAAUUUACUAGAACUUUCAUGAAGACUAUAUGUUCAAAUUCUGACGUUAGCAAUGACAUUUUGUUCAAACAAGAAAAGGAUUGUCACCAAGUCAAGAUGUGGCCACCCACUCAACAAUUAGUCAUCAAAUCAAUAGUUCCAAAUUUUGGCCUAUAAAAGGAGGCAUUUGCCAUGCAUUUAGGCAUCUUGGUUUUCAGAUCAAGAUCAUGUUCUUACUCUCUUUCUUUAUAUUUUUGUAAUGCAUAAGUUUUGCUUUCAUUAAUCUCUUGUUUAUGCCUUUCAUUUCCUUUACUAUAUUUAUAUAAUCAUGUUCUCAUCUUGUUUAUUUAUGUUUCUCUCUUUCAUUAUGUUUAGUUAAGUUUAUCAUGACAAGGUGAAAAGGUUACAUUAAUGGUGUAAGAAUAAGUAGUGUAAAUUCAACAUGGACUUUAAUGUUUGAUACUGACAUGUUUUGUAUUUGUUAUCUUAUUCACUCUUAAUACUUUGUUUGUUAAAUGGUUAAUCUAGAUUUAUGUUGUAUAACCCUUGGUACAACAAAUACUUGAUCCUUUCAUAACCAACUGUAUGGUAUAACCGACACCUGUGUUAUGAAAGGAACUUGAUUUGUUGUUAACAUAAAUUAACAUCACGAAUACCUGACAACAUUUACAAGUAUUAGCAUUAUUUGCAUAAGAUAAUUAAUGUAAUCAUGUUAAUAAUUUNNNNNNNNNNNNNNNNNNNNNNNNNNNNNNNNNNNNNNNNNNNNNNNNNNNNNNNNNNNNNNNNNNNNNNNNNNNNNNNNNNNNNNNNNNNNNNNNNNNNNNNNNNNNNNNNNNNNNNNNNNNNNNNNNNNNNNNNNNUCUCACAUUUCAAAGUCCUUUUAAAUCUUUGUUUUAUUAUAUAUAUUAUUUGUAAUUUAUAUAGUUCACCUCCUUGUGGUUCGACCCCAGUCUUACUGGGUUAUUUAUUACUUUGACACUCCUGCACUUGGGAUAAGACAUCAAUUUUUUGAUCGUGUCAUAUACACAAUGACUUAGAGAUUGAAGGAGAAAUGAUAGACAAUUGGUCACUAUAGUGUCGGUGGCUAAGGAUAUAUUACAAUGAUACUUAGCAUCAUGAUGAGGUUGGAUAAGGGCAUAAAUUGAUACUUGGCACUGUGAUAAGGGUGACCAAGGUUAUAUGAAUAAUGCUUAGUGAUUAUAGUGUCGAUAACUAAGAAUGUAUGUAAAUGAUACCUGGCAACCAUGGUUACAAUGCAUAUGAUGUUAACAAGAAAAAUGAAAGGGGAUCUGUACGAAUGAAAGAUUCAGAUGACAUUGAUUAGCUAUCCGGUUUUGGAUAGCUAAUGGUAUCAAUGGGAUUCCAUUUGUACCGGCAUUUCAGAUGACAUUGAUUAGCUAUCCGAGUUUGGAUAACUAAUGGUAUCGAUGGGGUUUCAUCGGUGCUGACAUUUCAGAUGACAUUGAUUAACUAUCCGGGUUUGGAUAACUAAUGGUAUCGAUGGGGUUUCAUCGGUGCUGACAUUUCUUAAAUUGAUUAGUCGAUCCUGAGCAAUUGGGUGACUAAUGAUGUUAGUAAAGAUUACUAACAUCGACAUGGUUACUCCUGGUUCAGUGAAAAAGAUAAGUUGAUUAACUAUUCUGGGUCGAGAAUAGUUAAUGAUAUCAAUGGGUCACAUUGGUAUCGACAAUCAUUUCUAGUGUGAUUAGCUACUCCAGGCAAAGAGGCUAAUGAUGUCAAGGGUUCUUGACAUCGGCAAUUUUGAUGGUAAACCAGAUAUGAAUAAGAUUUGAUUAACUAUUAUGGGGAAGAAAUAGUUAAUGAUACCAAUCGAUUUUAUUGAUAUCGACAUGUAAAUGUAAUUGAUUAGUCUAACCCAAUAUUGGGAGACUAAUGAUACUAAUGAGAUUUAUUAGUGUUGGUAAUUACCUUCCAUAAAAUGGGAGGGAAAAUAUUGAUUGGUUAUUCCAAAAGAAUGAGAUAAGCUAAUGAUACCAAGAGAGAAAUAUCUUGGUAUCAAGUGAGAAUUGAUUUAUAAGGAGAUGGUGUGCGAAAACCAUUGAAUUGUGUUGAGAUUUACAAGAUGAAAUUAUUCUCGGCAAAUGAGAUAGGAUAUUAGAUAGAUAUUGAUAAUAAAUGGAAAAUGUAUGUUGUAAAUGUAUGUUGUAGCUAAUUUUAUGUACCAAAAGAAAUUCUAUGGAGAUUAUUACCUAUCAUUGUUAUUGUUUCUUAUUACCUUCUUAUAUUUAUGUGUACACGUUAAUUUCUAUUUUCAGGUCCAUCAGGGUCGCGUCAGGAAUGAUAUUGGUUUAGUUACCUUUUGCUUUUGACCAUGUAAUUAUUUGUAAAUUAAGAGUCUUAUCUCCUAAAACUUGAAAUGUAAUAUUAAUCCGUAAAUUUGAAUGUAUGACUUUAAUCUAAUGUUUGUAACUCUAAGUACCUAUUUAACCAUGCAUGUUUAUAGUUGAAAUCAAAUCUUUCACUUGAAUUACAUUAUAUGAUGUUAUUGAAUAAGAAGUGUUUUGUUGAUGAUAAUAAGUUGGGUUGAGAUCCAGCAUGAUUAGAUCAGGAUGUAAAAUAAAAUUGGAAGUGUAAUAUGAUUUUGUUGAUAACUUGGGACCUCCUAGUGUAGGGGAGACUCUGCCAAAUUUUGGUGGACUUGUAUAAAAAAAAUUACCUGAAAAUUUCCAAUGUAUCGUGAAAAAAGGACGUAGGAAUUCAGGGUUGUUACAACUGGGUUCUCCUUCCUUUAGGGCACUUGCAGCCUCGUGUCUUAGCUUUCCAACGCGACCAACCUCUCUUGAAAAGGAGUACUAGAACUCCAGAUAUAGUUAAAACUCUGAGGAAAGGUCGGAAUGCGACCUCUACAGACAGUUACGGUUGGAUAGUAACAAUCCAAUGUCUAGACAGUAAUAAUUUCAAUGUCUAGAUAGUAACAGUUCAAGAUAGUAACUGUUGGACAGUAAUAGUCCAAGGUCAAGAAAGUAAUGGUUGGACAGUAACAAUCCAAGGUCUGGACAGUAACAGUUGGGCAGUAACAAUUCGAGAUUUAAACAGUAACAGUUCAAAUAUAAAAAAAUGAAUAAUAACUAUGGUUGGAUAAAGAAUGACGAUAUUAAUGGGUGUAAUGAGAAAACAUAAAAUAUAAAGAAAUAAAUGAUUGAAAGAAAAACCUAUUAGUUGUUGAUAUGGUUAUUAUAAAAUGUAUCAUUAAAUGAGGAAAAUUUAUGAGAUAAGCCUGUGAUUGCAGGAGAGACCACAAGCGUGGUGCUACAGCAGCAGCAAGGGAGCACGAGUAGAGCUUCUACUGCAGGUAGGUGAUCCUCACCUAAGCUUUCUAGUUAAAUUCAAGAAUUUAAUAUGUUAAUAAUGUGAGAUGUAAAUUUGCAAACGUUGGAUAUUAUAUGAAAGGAUAGUAUCCUGAAUAUAUGUGUGUUCAAGGUGAACGACCCUUAUGGGAAUUACCAAGUGAUAGGAGUACCACUGACAAAGAAAUUAUGAGAAGUGUAAUAUGUGCUUCAUCUAGCAUACAUUUAGUGUAUGUUAGGAUCCGGGGUAAGGGGAUCACCGUGCAUCGACUAGCAUACAUUUAGUGUAUAUUAGGAUCCUAGGUAACGGGAUCACUGUGUUUUUUACUAACGUACAUUUAGUGUAUGUUAGGAUCUCGGGUAAAGGGAUCACCAUGUAUUAACUAGCAUACAUUUAGUGUAUGUUAGGAUCUCGGGUAAUGGGAUCACCGUGUUUUUUACUAGCAUACAUUUAGUGUAUGUUAGGAUCCCGGGGUAAGGGGAUCACUGUAAUUUUUUACUAGUAUACAUUUACUGUAUGUUAGGAUCUCGGGUAAGGAGAUCUCCAUACGUUAAUGCUAAUGGGAUGAUGAUGAUACCGAUGAAAAGGGUAUUAGUAAUGUGUGGAUGAAACAAUUGCGGUUAAUUUUAAUGGAAUCUUGAAUGGAAGUUGGAAAUGAGAGAUGAAACAAUUUUCAGUAAAUGAAUGAGAAGGAGUUCUAAUAGAAAUGAAAAGGGAAAAGGAACAGAAUAAGAAUACAUAUCUACCUUUUUAAAUUAUUGAAAAUUUGUGCUACUGUACUUAUCGUGAUAUUCAUAUUUCAAUAAUAUGUAUUUUGUUUCAGGACCAUCGCAUGCACGACAGGAGUAGGUGUUAGCUUUUAUUCACUUUUUGUUAUGUAGUCUAGGUUGGAUGACCUUACAUUUUGUAAACAUGGAAACAUUUGAAUAACUUAACUUGUAUAAUUAAUGUUUAAACUUGAUUAGAUAAACUUAACUCUGUAGUUCAUAUAACCAUGCUUCAUGUAUGCGUAUUUAUGUCUUUUAUCCAUCCAUAAUGAUAUUUGUUAUUUAAUGUAUAUCAUAAAUAUUGUAGUUGAUAUGAACGAUGAUGUUUGUGGGAUUGAGACCCAGGAUGAUUGGGUCGUGAUUGAGUUAGGAGAUGCGAGUUAUUAGAAGUAUAAAUAGGUUAUAUGUCGAUAACUUGGGACCUUCAGGUAUAGGAGAGACUCCGUCGAAAUUUCGGUAGACUUUAAUAUGAACACCAUAUACAUUGUGUUCAUAUAAAUUUUUUAAAAAAAUUAACUACUCUGUUUUUCGAUUGACAUGAGAUUGUUGUUUUAUCCCGGAUAUGGGGAUGUUACAAUCGGCUUGUACGACCUACUCAGUCAGGGACAAGUGCCAAUAAGGGUCGACCUAGGUUCCAAGAGGAAAGGACUCAGGGCAGGAUAUACCACAUGACUCAAGAAGAUGUGGGGGCAAUGCCAGAUGUCGUAGCAGGUACACUACAAUUAGGUUUAAUACAAGUUUAUGCUUUAAUUGAUCUUGGGGCUAGCCAUUCUUUUGUGGCCCAUCGAAUUGUCAGUAAUUUAAAGGUAUUACCAAGUAGAUUGAGUGUAAGGGUGGUGGUUAGUACACCUUUAGGGAAAAAUAUAAACAUUGAUGAGGUGUACAAGGGAGUGAUACUAUACUUUGAGGGGGUAGAGCUAAGGGUUGACCUCAUGCCUUUAGAAUUAUAUGAUUUUGACUUGAUUCUAGGAAUGGAUUGGUUAAGUAGAUAUAGGGCACAAGUAGAUUGUUUCACAAAGACCGUAAACCUCCAAGAUGUGAGUGGCAAAAGGGUAGUAUUCAAGGGAGAAAGGAGGGUGAUUCCGAACUCCAUAAUCUCGGUCAUGACGACUGGAAAAUUGAUUAGAAAGGGAUGCCCUGCUUGGUUGUCUCAUGUAAGAGAAUUAAAGAAGGGAAGCAUAGAAUUAACAAAUAUCCAUAUUAUAAAAGAAUUUUCGUAUAUGUUUCCGGAGGAGUUACUAGGGCCACCUCCAAUUAGAGAGAUUGAGUUUCCAUUGAGACUCUUCCGGGGGUCAACCCUAUAGCACAAUCCCCUUAUAGAAUGGCCCCUAUAGAACUAGCCAAACUAAAGAUCCAACUUCAGGAGUUGCUGGACAAAGGGUUCAUACGGCCGAGCAAUUCACCCUAGGGGCCCCCAUUGCUAUUCGUGAAGAAAAAGGAUGGUACAUUCUGGUUAUGUAUCGACUAUUGAUAGCUAAACAAAGUGACGAUAAAGAACAAGUACCUGCUACCACAGAUAGACGAUCUAUUUGAUCAAUUGAAGGGUGCAAGGGUAUUCUCGAAGAUAGAUCUGAGGUCGAGGUAUCAUCAAUUAAGGAUCAGAUAACAGGACAUACAGAAAACUGCCUUUAGGACCCACUAUGGCCACUAUGAAUUCUUAGUGAUGCCUUUCGGGUUAACAAAUGCCCCUACAGUAUUUAUGGAUCUGAUGAACCGGGUGUUUUGGCUUUAUCUAGAUAAAUGUGUGGUGGUAUUUAUUGAUGAUAUACUAGUAUAUUCCAACUCUUAUUUGGAACAUGAGAAGCACUUGAGAAAGGUGUUGGAGAUAUAAAGGGAGAAUAAAUUAUAUGCCAAACGGGAUAAAUGUGAGUUAUGGCUCAAGGAGGUGGUACUUUUGGGACAUGUUAUCUUAGCAUGAGGAAUAUUUAUGGAUCCAGGAAAAGUAGAGGCAGUUCUAAAGUGGGAAAAGCCCACGAAUGUGACCGAAAUCCGAAGCUUCUUAGGCCUCGCAGGGUAUUAUAGGAGGUUUAUCGAAGGGUUUUCUACAAUAGCAUCACCUCUAACCAAGUUGACUCGUAAAGAAGUAAGGUUUAUUUGGUCAAAGAAAUACGAGGAGAGUUUUCAGGAGUUGAAAAGAAGGCUCACAUCAACCCCUGUUUUGGCCCUUCCUUCCGGAACAAAAGGGUUCAUGGUUUAUAGUGAUGUCUCGAUGAGGGGUUUGGGAUGUGUGUUAAUGCAGCAUGGGAAGGUGAUCACCUAUGCUUCCAGACAGUUAAAGCNNNNNNNNNNNNNNNNNNNNNNNNNNNNNNNNNNNNNNNNNNNNNNNNNNNNNNNNNNNNNNNNNNNNNNNNNNNNNNNNNNNNNNNNNNNNNNNNNNNNNNNNNNNGACCAUAAGAGUUUGAGGUAUUUAAUGUCGCAAAAGGAGUUAAACAUGCGAUAGAGGAGAUGGGUGAAAUUGAUAAAGGAUUACGACUGUGUAAUUGACUAUCAUCCUGGUAAAGCCAAUAUAGUGGCGGAUGCCUUGAGCCAAAAAGGGAAGGCAGUGGUGGGUGAUACAGGAAAUACAGAACAAGAGGAUUUGAUGGAAUUGAAAAGGAUGGGCUUACAGUUAGGUGUGGGUCCCUAAGGGUCACUACUGGCUCAUAUAAAAAUCAGAUCAGUGCUGCGAGAUAAAGUUCUAGAAGCUCAGUUGGUGGAUGAAGGUAUAGGAAAGAUCAAAGGAAGGAUAGAGCAAGGCAAAGAGUUAUCUUUUCAAGUUUUGCCCAAAGGAUUUGUGGCGAUGGGCAAACGAGUUUACUUACCCGAGGAUAAGGCCUUAAAGGGUGAAAUACUGAAAGAAGCUCAUGAAUCUUGGUUUGCAACCUACUGUUGUGAUGUCGCGGUUGCACAAAUUAAUUACCCUAGCUUCAAACACAACACACAAGAUAGUAUAGAGCAAGCAAGGGGUCGAUCCCAUGAGGAAGAUUCAAGUCAAAUUUUUAUGCUAGAUGAUAUGGAAUUUGGGGGGUUUGGACGUUAUCUAGGCUAAAGCAAAAGAAAACAGAAAACUAUCAAACAAAAUUUAAUAAAAUCAGAAAAUUAUCAAGAGAACAAACCUUGGUUGUAAGCACACAUCCACCUACAGAAAUCAGAACUGAUCAUGGAAACGAAACAUCAAUUUAUAUUCUGAAUAUUUAUCUCUUCUUAACAUUGGUUAGUUAACGGAUCCGCCGCAUAACUAACCCUAACCAUCAAAUAACCACAGUGUCCGCACUAGUAAUUUAAUUUAAUAGCAGCCUUAAGAACUAGAUAAGUUGAUUAAUCAAGAAAACAUAAUUGUUCGCAGUCUAUGUUUGAUUUGAUUGAAUGUUCUCCCUAAGACUAAUAACGUAGAUCCGCCACAAUUAUUAAACUCAUUUUCUUCACAAGUUCAUAUACCACAACUCCGGUUUUGAUAUCAAACUUAGUAAUAGAUUGUCUACAAUAAUAACUUAGAGUCCGCUCUAGCAAUUAAAAUAAACAAUCAUAGGAAAAAUAAGCAUAGGAGAACAAACAUAUUCAUCAUAUAAACUGAAAAGAAAAGGUAAAAUAAAUCUCACAGUUCUUAAAAUUCAAAGGUUUUCGUGUCCUUGCAACCAAGAAAAUGAGUUUAGCCUUGCAUGUUUGUUGAACAACUAAUAAAAAAGAAGGAGGAAUGCAUGAUUUCUGGUUUCUUAGAGGAGGGGGGCGUUUUUCUCCUCUUGGCUGGCUGGCCCCCUUCUCUUCUCUCAUUCUUUUUAUAUCCUAGGAAACCCUAGUCUUUAUUUUACAAAAUAGUCCUCCCUUAAGUAGACAAUUUAUAUUUAAGUACUUCAAUAAACAUUUUUCUAAAAAAAGAGAAAUAGCCUUGCAUGAAAUCUUCAAUCUUUGACUUAGAGGAGCUAAAUUACUGAAAUAAAAACUUGGAUAUCGAUUUAGAUGCUUCGGAAUGUAAUUUAGACUCGUUUCUUCACGAAACUUGUUUGCUGGCAGAAUUCAAUUGUCAUCUUUGAAAAAUCAUAUCUCCCUCAGAUGACAUUUUUUUUGCUGAAAUUUAGAGAUUUGAUAGGCCUUUGAGUCAGGAAUACAAAAAAAUUUAUUUUGCAUCAAUUGGACUUCUGUAGCUCCAGAUAUUAAAGUCGGAAUGGCUCAAGGUCAACACUGGCAGAUUGCAAGAUUUGACUUUGAAGGCUGCGAUUUCCAUGCUCUUCCUUAUUUUAUUUUCUUGCCUUAGAUGUCUAGAAAGGUAUGGAUGUUAGCUUUUUAAUGCCACUGGAAUCACUUCAUUUCAAUCUCUAGAGCUCACGCUCUGCACAAAACAUCGACUGAAGGUCAAAUCUGCCAAUUACCUCCAAUUUACUCUUUUUUGCAUCUUUCAUCCAAAAGUGCCUUCAAAACAUAAAACAAAGAAUAUCAAGUCAUUUUAUAUAUAGAACAUAGGCAAAACACUAGUUAAAUGUGGGUGAAACUAUCGAAUAAUAUGGUUGCAUCACUUACCCCGGGAGCACCAAGAUGUACAGGGAUCUCAAGGAGUAUUACUGGUGGCCAAAUAUGAAGAAGGAGAUAGCAGAAUAUGUGUCAAGAUGUGGGAUAUGUCAACAGGUGAAGAUAGAACACCAAAGGCCGGCGGGGAAAUUGCAACCACUACCAAUUCCGGAAUGGAAAUGGGAAAAUAUAGCCAUGGACUUUGUAACUGGAUUGCCGAAGGAGAAAAGGGGCAAUGAGGCUAUAUGGGUGGUUGUAGAUCGACUAAUGAAGUCAGCUCUAUUCUUGCCCACCAAGAUGACGGACCCGGUAGACAAGUUGGCCAAAUUAUACGUGAAUGAAGUGAUUAGACUACAUGGAGUACCCUUAUCAAUUGUGUCAAAUUGAGACCCCAGAUUCACCUCGAGGUUAUGGUCGCGCUUACAACGAGCUUUAGGAACCAAGGUAAACUUGAGCACGACAUUCCACCCUCAAACGGAUGGCCAAUCUGAAAGAACUAUCCAAACACUUGAAGACCUUAUAAGGUCAUGUGUGCUAGAGUUUGAGGGAAACUAGGAAGACUUGUUGCCGUUGGUAGAGUUCACAUAUAAUAAUAGUUAUCAAGCUUCAAUCUGGAUGGCUCCAUAUGAAGCCCUUUAUGAGAGGAAAUGUCGCACUCUGAUAUGCUGGGAUGAAAUUGGAGAAAGAAAACUUGUGGGUCCUGAAAUGGUACAAUUAAUGACUGAUAAAGUAAGGGUGAUCAUGCAAAGAAUAAAGGAAGCCCAAGAUAGAUAGAAGAGUUAUUCAGAUAAUCGGAGGAGACCUUUGGAAUUCCAAAUAGGGGAUAGAGUAUUUUUAAAGGCGGCACUGUGGAGGGGCAUCAUUCGGUUUGGAAUGAAAGGAAAGCUUGCUCCGAGGUACAUUGGCCUAUUUGAAGUGAUAGCUAGGGUAAGGCCGAUUGCUUACUGCCUGAGGCUAUCGACGCACCUAGAGAAGAUUCACAAUGUGUUCCAUGUAUCACUAUUACGGAAGGCAGAAGUGGAUCAUUCACGAGUGUUACCUCCAGUUCCCAUUGAAGGGAAUCGAGACCAAGUCAAUCAAGAUCAUGGAUUGGGGUGAAAAAACAUUGAGAAAUAAAAGAAUACCAUUUGUCAGAGUGUUGUGGAGGAACUCACAAAUAGAGAAAGAAACAUGGGAGAGAGAAUCGGAGAUUAAGGAAAAAUAACCCCACCUAUUCCUUGAGAUAGGUAUGCAACUUAAAUUUUAAGGAUGAAAUUUUUGUUAGGAGGGGAGAAUGUGAAACCCGAGAAACAAUUAUACAAAAAAGGGGGGAUUUAUAAUAAAUUGAAUUUUUUAACCAAUGAUUUACAUAUUUAUUAUUUAUCAUUCUUUUAUCAAAAUCAGAUUUUCAUUUUGUUUUCUAAUUUUGUAAAUAGUGAGUAUCAUAAUAAGGAUAUCAUAUGUCUAUGCAACAAACAAAUCAUCCAUGCAGUUAUUUAAAUAUAAAAAAUAAACGUAGAGAAAAGUAUAAAUACUUAAAUAUAAAAAAUAAAAAUAAAACAUUUAAUUUGAAAAUUUGUGAGUACAAUGUAGAAUUUUUCAUUGACUCUUAUAAUUCAUUUGGGGAUGUUGACGUCUACGAGUGUUUGUGCCGGUCUGAUUUAUUUAUAUAAAAACAAUGUGAUAUUUAUUAGAGUAGACAAUUUUUUAUUGGAAGGAGUGGUUGGUUAGCUUCAUUUGGUGGGCAUUAAAUUCUAUAUUUCAUCGCUAAAAUCCAAGAUUGAAAGAGUUGUUUCUAUCACACAAUUUUACUUGUUUCUAUAAGUAAAUUCAGAUUAUAAUGUAAUUAUGCUUAUUGUUCAAUUUUAUACCAUUAAAUAUAAUUUUUAAUCUGAUUAUUAGAUUAGGUUAAAGUUAAUAGGAAUUUUAAAUAUAUUAUUCUAUAUUGAAUUAAAAUCUCAAGUCAAUUAGUGUUAAGAAAAGUUUUACGAUAUAAGUCAGCAGAUGCAAUAUGAAUUUUAUUAUUUGUUGUCUUUUAACCUGUGAAUUUUUUAUUUGAAGAGAAUUCUUUUCCACAUAAUGCAAAGAUAUUCAACAACUUAUUUUUAUGAGGAUUCCUUGUUUAUUCUAACUAUAUAAAGAAAUGUGAGCUGGGAUAUUUAAUGACAUUGAUUUUAGGCUAAAUUAUUUUUCUGUAUUAUUUUAAGAUUUUAUUUGUUGUUUUAUUUUAUUAUUUAGAUAUUUACAUUUAGUUUAUGGCAUGUGUUUAGUUUUGGCAUGUUUUGGCCUAAAAUCAAUGUUUUAGGACUGUUUUAAAUAGCAAGUUUAUGUUAGCUGAAUGUUAGCUUGAGUUCAUAAGUUUGCAACCCAAUAAAGGCCCAUUAAAGUUAUUUAGGAAGAUCUAUUAUUUGGAUAUUUAUCUUCAAUUGAGAGUUGUGUUUUAGUUAGAGUUUGUUUUGAUCUAAAAUCAAUGUUUUAUGACCAUUUUAAGUAUUAGACUUGUGUAGUUGAUUAUUAGCUUGGGCCUAUUGAUUUGCAACCCAAUAAAAAUCCAUUAAGAUCAUUUAGAAAGACUAUACAUUGUUUUCUUUACUGUAAAAUUCAGCAUCCAUAAUGUUUUAAAUAAAAUUGUGUAUUGUGUGAUGCAUUUUUUUUUUUUUUUUUUUUUUUGCUGGAAGAAAAGCAAAUUUGACUUGUAAAUGCAUAACUAACCUUGUGGCGUAUUCAUAUACUUCGGAUUUUUUAUUUUUUAUAAUCAACGAGUCCUAAUUUAAUUUUCGAUACCACUACCAGAAAAUUGAUAAAUACAAACGGAAAUACCGAGGGAAUAUUUCCGUUUGUAAAUUUUUGAGGGAUUUUACCGACGGAAAUAUUCCCUCGGUAGGGAAUUACCGUAGGAAAAAAAAUUAAAACAAAGCAAAAAAAAAAUAAUGACGUGUCAUUUUUACCAACGGAAUUACCGACGGUAAAUUUGUUGGUAAAAAUAUGAACACUAUUCAUCAUAUCAAUUACAAAGGGAAUCACCGACGGAAUUGUCCGUCGGUAUUUCCCAGAGAGCUCCAGAACUGUUCACUUUCCAAUUGCACUGUUAAUUGUUGUUCUUUACAGACAAAAUCACCGACGGAUUGAAAAGUCGUCGGUGUUAUUUGGCGGUUUUCUGAAAAAAAUCAAUUAAUUUAAAAUUUUCAUUUAAAUAUUACAGAUGGAAUCACCAACGGAUUGAAAAAUCGUCGAUAAUUUUUUGGCGGUUUCUGUAAACUUUUUACAAAAUUGAAAAUUUAAAUUAAAUAUUACCGAUGGAAUUACCGACGGAAUAAUUAAAAAAUAUUAAUAUUUAAUUAUCCGUCGGUAACGCGCCCCAAUAAAAAGCCUGAAUCCCCUUAUUUCACAAGAAACAGACCCAUUUCUUAUUAUUAUUCUUCUUCUUCUUGUUCUUCUACUUCUUCUUCUUCUUCACUAUAUGUAAAAAACAUCAUUAAGGUAUGUCUUCUUCUUCUUCUUCAUUAUAUGUAAAAAACAUCAUUUCUUAUCUAUUUCUUUCUCUUCUUUUCUCUUCUCCUCUCCUUCUCUUUUCCUCCAUGCUUGGGUAUGUCUUCUUAUUCUUUCUUCUUUUUAUCCUCUUAGUUUUUUUUUUUAAUUAAUAUGCUUAACAAAAAAAAAUUUCUCUCCUUAGCUUCACUUGCAACUACAUUAAGGUAAGAUUUUUUUUUCUUCUUCUUUUUUCAUGAUUUUUUUCACUAUAUUUGUUUUUUAUUUUAUUUUUAAUUGUUUUUGUUCUUAAUAAUUGUAUAAAUGUUGUUGUGAGAUUUUUUUUCAUAUGAGAUCAAUUUUUAGUAGAUUUAUUUAUAGGAUUUUUAAAUUUUUAGCAAUUGCAACUUCAUUUUUUUCAUAUGAAUUUUUUUAGUUGAAUUUAUUUUUUUGUUUUAUUUUUUUGUUGCAAAUUUGUUUGAGUUGAUUUUCUUAUUCUUUUUUCCAAGCAUUUUGAGUAUAUAUUAUACAGUGUUAAUUUAUGUUAAUUUAAUUAUUUUAUAAUUUUAUAAAAUGAAUUUUUUUAAAAAAUGUUUUUAAAUAAUUACCGACAGAAUUACCGACGGAAAUUCCAUCGGUAAUUCCAUCGGUAAAUCCGUUGGUAAUAAAAAUAAUAUUAUUACCGAGGAUAUACCAACGAAAUGAAGCGGAUAAAUUUAUUUUUUUAUUACCAACGGAUUCAACGACGAACAAAAAAUUACCGACGAAAGAUUCACCGACGGAGCAUUUCCGUUGGUGAUUCCAUCGGUAAAUUAAUUACCGACGAAAUAUGUGUCUUAACGCCAACGAAAAAAUUUCGUCGGUAAAACUGUUAAAUCUUGUAGUGCCUUAUGUUUUUAGGUGUAAGAUUAUCUUUGGAUUAAGGUUUUUAUCCAUAGCUUUAGCUUUUUUAGAUUAUUUAUCUAUUUUACUGUGAGUUUCUGAGUUUUUAAAUCCAUAAAUUUGGCAUCAAUUACUUUCUUAUUUACCCCAGCAAGAGCAGACACCCAUAGACUGGCUAGAAAGCUUCCAGCUAAUGAAUCGUCGGCCUGCUGUUGGAGAGGUAAAUGUGAAGGUCCGUUUGGAUAGCUGUUACUUUUGUGAUUGAAACUUUUAGCCAUGGGUGUAAAAAUGUUUGCUAAUUUUCUAUUAGAAUGCUCUUUCGUUAAUAAAAAUUUCAGGACAGAAACCAAAGAGGAGAAUCUUUUAAAGAGAUAUCCGAGACUUUCCGGAUAAGAGACACAUGAGUUGUGUUGUAAAAGAUUCAAAAUUACUCUCUUUCCCUGUCUUUAUAUCUAAAACAUUAAUUUUACAAUAGUUAAUUUUAACACAAGAUUUAAAAACUUUAAAAUAAAAUAAUAAAAUAAAACUCAUAAAAAGAUUAAAGAGUUCGUUCCACUUGUGGCUCAAAACUCUACCAAACAAAUGAAAAAAAUAAAAAUAAAUAAAAGGACCCAACAGCUUUUAAAACACCGAAAGCUACGCAUACCCAAAUGAACCCUUGAUCUUGGCAAGCUGACUUUGAAUCAAUAUUAAAAUUUAGUACAUGGACAUCACGCUAUACGCCUUCGGCAUCGAAAUUAAAUAUUUUUUUCUUGCACGAUGGCCGAGUCAAUGAAAACAUAAAAAGAAAAACAGAGAAAGGACUGCAACCUUGCCACCCAAGGUGCCUGCCUCAGUUACUACAUUUUACUUCAUGAGAGUUAGCUCAGCAAUCAGUAAAUGUCAAGAAGAUUAAUUCACAAGUAUUCACUUUUAAAAAAAAAACAAGGGGGGGGGGGGGGGGGGUUAAAUUUUAGUAACCGUUUUGAUUUUCAAAAACCGCAAGUUUAGCUUUAAUUCUACCUUGACACCUGGUAAACUAACUACAAGCUAUUCCCUGCUUGAAGAUUCCAUUAUGGAUACAGCAGAGACUAACAGGAUCCUAUUCAAAAAAAUAAAAAAGUAAGAAAUGAAAUGUGAUAGAAGGCAGGCAGGAAGACAUCAUAAUCUAAGGUUCUAAGGGAAUCAGCUUUCAGAUUCCCAUNNNNN
rnacentral:lncRNA from 1 species